rnacentral:rRNA from 1 species
AUGUCCCAUCCAAUCCCUCUGCCGCCGCCUCUCCACCAAAUCCCCUGCAGGAUCCUCUUCGCACCAACUAGCAACCACCGAAACUUCCAAAUCCAUCAAUCCCCGCCUCUCCUCGAAUUCCAGCCACAUCCCCGCUCGAUCUCGUCGGGAUCGAAGCCACCAGCACACUCGCCGACCACCGCGGCGACUAGGCCAAUUCUGUUACUUCGUUCCUUCCUUUUUCUCCCGUGCUUCUCCCUCGUCUCACUUCUCUGUCUCUCUCACCCCGUUCAAGCAGGAAGCAGCCAACGCCAUGGACGUCGUGCCCUCGAGCAGCAGCAGUCUCGAGCAUCGCCCGACCCUGCCUCCACCUUGUUCUCGCCGGAGCAAGCCCCACCGCGCCGCCCUCCGUCAGCCGCCGGAGCCUCGUCCGCCCCCGGCGAACCUCGACCUCCUUCGGAGCCACGACGCCUCCCUACCGUUCCUGACCUCGACUCCCUCUCGUCUCUCUCUCUACAGGGACCCGCCAUGGCCAACCUCUCCUUUAAGUGUCCCGCGCCCGGAUCCAGUGCCCUCGGCUUCCCCAAGCAUGGAUCCCCAUCCCCGACCUCUUCUGCUGCAUCUGGCGUCCCACCGCCGUCUUCCUCCCGUGCCUCACGCCGGAGCCUACUUCCGCUGUGGCAUCCUCUGCCUCGACCCCGCCUGGACUCCCCUCCGCCGGCCUUCAAUGCUGUCCAGGACCCAGAUCCUCCCCUUCGCCCCCCUCGACGGAGCUCUGCUCCCAGCCACCGCUGCCCUGCUCGCCUCCUCUGCUUCGCCCUUGCGCGAGGAGGACGACCCAGCGUGAAGUCCCGCUCACCGUGCCUGUUGACUUCGUCGCCCCAUGCGUGGGCCACGAGGGUGCCAAGGCCCAGCUCCGCGCGCGCCUUGCCAGCCCAUCUCCACCGAGGCCGCGCCUGGCCCAGCUCCAGGUUCCAGCGCCCGCGUGGGCCACAGGCAGGCCGGCCCAGCGCGCCCUCCUGCUAUACCUCUCCACAAUUCUGGGCAAGGCCCAUGGUGAGAACAGAUCUGGCCCGACACGUUUUUUCCCAGUUCUGGACGAAUUUCGUAAUUAUUUAG